GGAGGCGGUGCUCUCCUGGCAUCAGCGCUGCGGCUGGAGGCACUGCUGGUGCUCCUGUCUGCUGUCCACUGCCACCUUGGCCUGUUUUUGCCACCCUGGCGCCCCGAACUCUGUGCCGCCGCACCCUUCACCCAGUCUUGGGACGGCUGGCGCUAAGAAUUCAUGCUAUGACCUUCGAUUCAGCCAGGAGGUGACACCAAGCUCGAUCAGAAACUAUGCCACUGGUGAAGAGGUAUAUUGAGCCCUGCGUGGCCCAGUGAGGUUACUAGAGAAUUGGAAGAGUCUCAAAUCAGCAUCCUGCACAUGGUUAUCAAACCAUUGUGAAGUCUUAUGGGUUCACCAGCAAGCCAGAAGGAAGCAUCACUGCCAUGGAUGUCCUUGUGAGGCAGUUGUGAAGCCUUGACAGGUUAUCAAACCAAGAGAAGUCCAAAACUCAGCCAAGAAUGGCCACCCAGUCUUCAGCCUCCAUUUGACUUUCCAUCUUGUCCACUGAGGAUAGCAGAGUUAAGUCAGGAAAAGAAAAUGGCUGUCCACAGAGGGAGAAUUGAUCACUGUCUGUUCUUCAAAGAUGCUUUUCUGGCCGUGGUUGGGGCUAUUAGUGCUCACUGCCUGGACAGAGACCUGUUUCAACAGGAGACUUCUUUGGGAUUGAGAAGCUUUCUUUCUACUUAUUGGCUUUCACCCUUGACUUGGCCUUGAAGUUUUGGAAUUUCUAGCUCUCAAGUUUUUUCAGGAGAGCUUUAGAAACAACUUGUCAAGUUUUCACCACAAAUACCAUUGGAGUUACAAUUGGAGUCUCACUGAAUUAUACAGUAAUUUUUGGAGAGCUAUCAUCUUUAUAAUCUUCUCAUACAUGAAUGUGCUUCUCUGCUGCCUUUUGAGCUGCCAGGCACUGUGCUGGGUGAUGGGGAUAUGGAGAUGAAUUAGACACAGUUUCUGCCCUCAAGGAGUUCUCAGUCUAGUGAGAGAGUUCGACUUGUACACAGAUAAUUACAGUAUGGUAUGCUCUACAAUGGAGGUAUGUACAAGAUACUCUGGGGUUCAGAAGAGAAAUCAUUUGACUGAAUCUGGAGAUGCAGAGGUUGGAGGAACUGAUGCUUAAGUUGAUUAUUUUAAAAAGUAAAGGUCAAAUAGGCAGAAAACAGAGGAAGUACCUUCUAAGCAAAGAUAUGAACAUUAGAAAUGGAAUGAUAAAUUGAGGGACUACAAGUAGUUUAUGAGAUUAGGUUGGAAAUGUGGGCUGAGAAUAAAUCCUUAUAUAGUAUGCUGUGAAAUUUGGAUUUCAUUUUGAGUGUUUUAAAAAGGGGAUGCUUUUGAUGGUCACUCUGACAGUAGUAUGGAGUAAGUUAUGGAAAAUUUUCAAAUUUGGAUAGGGAGAUCAGUUAGAUGAUAAAUGAUCAUCUUAGCCAGAAUAAGUGGGAAUGAAGAAGGAAUAACCUUUUAAAUAAGGGGUUAUACAAAACAUGGAUAUAGAAGUUCCCAUUGUGGCGUCAGCAGUAAUGAUCCUGACUAGUAUCCAUGAUAAUGUGGGUUCGAUCCUUGGUCUUGGUCAGCAGGUUAAGGAUCGGGCGUUGCUGUGAGCUGUGGUGUAGGUGGCAGAUGCAGCUUGGAUUCCAAGUUACUGUGACUGUGCGGAGGCUGGCAGCUGCAGCUCCGAUUCAACCCCUAGCCUGGGAACUUCCAUAUGCCGCAGGUGCGGCCCUAAAAAGAAAAAAAA
rnacentral:lncRNA from 1 species